AUUGAACGCUGGCGGCAGGCCUAACACAUGCAAGUCGAACGAGUGGCGGACGGGUGAGUAAUGUCUGGGAAACUGCCUGAUGGAGGGGGAUAACUACUAGAAACGGUAGCUAAUACCGCAUACCAUCGGAUGUGCCCAGAUGGGAUUAGCUAGUAGGUGGGGUAAAGCCUCACCUAGGCGACCAUCCCUAGCUGGGCUGACAGGAUGACCAGCCAAACUGGAAAUGAGACACGGUCCAGACUCCUACGGGAGGAAGCAGUGGGGAAUAUUGCACAAUGGGCGCAAGCCUUAUGCAGCCAUGCCGCGUGUAUGAAGAAGGCCUUCGGGUUGUAAAGUACUUUCAGCGGGGAGGCGUUACCAACUGAAUAAGCACCGGCUAACUUCGUGCCAGCAGCCGCGGUAAUAC
rnacentral:rRNA from 1 species